rnacentral:rRNA from 1 species
CCUACGGGAGGCAGCAGCAAGGAAUUUUCCACAAUGGGCGCAAGCCUGAUGGAGCAACGCCGCGUGGGGGAUGACGCGUUUCGGCGUGUAAACCCCUUUUCGGGAGGACGAAGAACAUGACGGUACUCCCGGAAGAAGGACCGGCUAACUACGUGCCAGCAGCCGCGGUAAGACGUAGGGUCCGAGCGUUGUCCGGAGUUACUGGGCGUAAAGCGCGCGCAGGCGGCUCUGUACGUCGGGUGUGAAAGCCCCCCGCUCAACGGGGGAGGGUCAUUCGAAACGGCAGGGCUGGAGGCAGGGAGAGGUCGGUGGAAUUCCCGGUGUAGUGGUGAAAUGCGUAGAGAUCGGGAGGAACACCAGUGGCGAAGGCGGCCGACUGGACCUGGCCUGACGCUGAGGCGCGAAGGCGUGGGGAGCGAACGGGAUUAGAUACCCUAGUA